AUUCAAACUGGAUGCAUGCGUUCAGCAACUGGAAGCUGAGUUCAUAUUUCAUUGCCCAACUACCCUGACCACUUGGGAAUCGCAGGUUUGGAAGGACCCACAGCCAUUCUGUGGAAAUGGAUCUGCUUUCAGGACCGAAUCUCAGACUUCUUGGGGAAGGUUUCAGUGGCUGCCUUUGCUGUGCAGACCUGGAGAUGGGUCUGAUGAUCGGACACCUGAAUUAUCUGUGUGGCUGAGUUUCAAGAAGACCUGCUGGGGUGAAAUGAAAAUGGUGCCUACUAGAAGCCCCAGUGGCUUUGCUGGUGGAGGCUAGCUUGCUCAUGUCCUCAUACAGAAGCAGAGAUGCAAGCAAGUGAGAAGGUGGAAGGACUCAGGUCUUGGGCCUUACUCUGAGAACUAUAACACCAUUCCUUCUGCUGCAUUCUCUUGUCUAAAGUAAGUUACAAGGCCAAUCCAGAUUCAAGGGCGGGGGAAACAGGCUUCACCUCUUGAUGAGAGAAGCUACAAAGUCACAUUACAAAGGGCAUGGCUACUGG
rnacentral:lncRNA from 1 species